rnacentral:rRNA from 1 species
AGUGAACGCUGGCGGUAGGCCUAACACAUGCAAGUCGAACGGCAGCACAGUAAGGGCUUGGUCUUACGGGUGGCGAGUGGCGGACGGGUGAGGAAUACAUCGGAAUCUACUUUUUCGGGGGGGAUAAGGUAGGGAAAGUUAAGCUAAUAUCGCAUACGACCUACGGGUGAAAGCAGGGGAUAUUCGGACCUUGCGCGAAUGGAUGAGCGGAUGUCGGAUUAGCUAGUUGGGGGGGUAAAGGCCCACCAAGGCGACGAUCCGUAGCUGGUCUGGGAGGAUGAUCAGCCACAUUGGAACUGAGACACGGUCCAGACUCCUACGGGAGGCAGCAGUGGGGAAUAUUGGACAAUGGGCGCAAUCCUGACCCAGCCAUACCGCGUGGGUGAAGAAGGCCUUCGGGUUGUAAAGCCCUUUUGUUGGGAAAGAAAAGCAGCAGCUUAAUACCCCGCUGUUCUGACGGUACCCAAAGAAUAAGCACCGGCUAACUUCGUG